UAGUCAUAUGCUUGUCUCAAAGAUUAAGCCAUGCAUGUCUAAGUAUAAGCAAUCUAUACAGUGAAACUGCGAAUGGCUCAUUAAAUCAGUUAUCGUUUAUUUGAUAGUACCUUACUACUUGGAUAACCGUGGUAAUUCUAGAGCUAAUACAUGCUAAAAGUCCCGACCUCUGGAAGGGACGUAUUUAUUAGAUAAAAAACCAAUGCCUUCGGGCUCCUUGGUGAUUCAUGAUAACUUUACGAAUCGCAUGGCCUUGCGCCGGCGAUGGUUCAUUCAAA
rnacentral:rRNA from 1 species